rnacentral:snoRNA from 1 species
UUUGCCCAUCAUAGGCGUUGUCAUAGUGACUCAUGUUUCUGUGAUGUCAAGGUGUGGCAUAUAGUAGACUGUUCAUCAUAGGCGUUGUCAUGGUAACUGAUGUUUCCAUGAUGUCAAGAGUGGACAAACACC